rnacentral:tRNA from 1 species
ACUUAAAUAGCUUAUAAUAGAGUAUGACAUUGAAGAUGUUAGGGAAAUAGUAAUAUUUUUAAGUA